GGAAACGCCCGGUCACAUUCCGAACCCGGAAGCUAAGACUCUCAGCGCCGAUGGUACUGCAGGGGGGACCCUGUGGGAGAGUAGGACACCGCCGGAC
rnacentral:rRNA from 1 species